AUUUCUAAAUCGCUUAAUUCAUUAGAAACGGGGGAACCAUUUGUGGCAUUUAUGCCGCGUGGGGUGAAUCCUAUGAAUGUAGGUAGGGCUACUCUAUUGGCCCAAAUCCGACAGCUAACCUCGUAAGCGUUCUGAGAGAGGAAUU
rnacentral:sRNA from 2 species